AACGAACGCUGGCGGCGUGCUUAACACAUGCAAGUCUAACGGGAAUGUCGGCUUCGGCUGACUAGUACCGUGGCGAACGGGUGAGUAACACGUGGGUAAUCUGCCAUCGAGCUCGGGAUAACCUUGCGAAAGCGAGGCUAAUACCGGAUAAGACCACGACCUGCCUGCAGGGUGCGGUAAAAGGUGGCCUCUUCUUGAAAGCUAUCACUUGAGGAUGAGCCCGCGGCCUAUUAUCUAGUUGGUGAGGUAAUGGCUCACCAAGGCGACGAUGGGUAGCCGGCCUGCGAGGGUGUACCGCCACACUGGCACUGAGACACGGGCCAGACUCCUACGGGAGGCAGCAGUGGGGAAUUUUGCGCAAUGGGGGAAACCCUGACGCAGCAACGCCGCGUGAGUGAUGAAGGCCUUCGGGUUGUAAAGCUCUUUUAGUGGGGAAGAAGCCCUCCCUGGCUAAUAUCCAGGGGGUCUGACGGUACCCACAGAAAAAGUUCCGGCUAACUACGUGCCAGCCGCCGCUGUAAGAC
rnacentral:rRNA from 1 species